GACGAACCGUGCGAACGUUGUUCGGAAUCACUGGGCUUAAAGGGCGCGUAGGCGGGCUGCCGAGUCCGGGGUGAAAUCCUCCCGCUCAACGGGAGAACGGCCCCGGGUACUGGCGGCCUCGAGGCGGGUAGGGGCGUGCGGAACACUGGGUGGAGCGGUGAAAUGCGUUGAUAUCGUAAGGAAGACCAGUGGCGAAGGCGGGUCUCUGGACAGUUCCUGACGCUGAGGCACGAAGGUCAGGGGAGCAAACGGG
rnacentral:rRNA from 1 species